UGAAAAAUGAUGAGAUUGUAAGGACUGAAGUCUGAAUUUAUUUUGGAAUCCCCAUAACUUGAUAGCCUUCAAAGUUCUCUGGUUCCU
rfam:Jatropha curcas cultivar GZQX0401 scaffold20_142, whole genome shotgun sequence.